rnacentral:ncRNA from 1 species
CAACCUCAACUCAUAUGGGACUACCCCCUGAAUUUAAGCAUAUUAAUUAGGGGAGGAAAAGAAACUAACAAGGAUUUUCUUAGUAGCGGCGAGCGAAAAGAAAUCAGUUCAGCACUAAGUCACUUUGUCUAUAUGGCAAAUGUGAGAUGCAGUGUACGGAACAUCAACAUUCUAGUAUGAGAAGUUAACGAUUUAAGUCCUUCUUAAAUGAGGCCAUUUACCCAUAGAGGGUGCCAGGCCCGUAUAACGUUAAUGAUUACUAGAUGGUGUUUCCAAAGAGUCGUGUUGCUUGAUAGUGCAGCACUAAGUGGGUGGUAAACUCCAUCUAAAACUAAAUAUAACCAUGAGACCGAUAGUAAACAAGUACCGUGAGGGAAAGUUGAAAAGAACUCUGAAUAGAGAGUUAAAUAGUACGUGAAACUGCUUAGAGGUUAAGCCCGAUGAACCUGAAUAUCCGUUAUGGAAAAUUCAUCAUUAGAAUUGUAAUAUUUUAAACAAUAUUAUAAUAAUAGUGUGCAUUUUUUCCAUAUAAGGACAUUGUAAUCUAUUAGCAUAAAUAUUUAUCAUAAAAUUAUGUCUGAUUGCUUAUUUGAAUUAUAUGCUUGGCAUUUUAACAUAAAAUAAAAGAUAUAAAUUUGAUAAAGUGCUGAUAGAUUUAUAUGAUUACAGUGCGUUAAUUUUUCGGAAUUAUAUAAUGGCAUAAUUAUCAUUGAUAUUUGUGUUUAUUAUAUGCAUUUGUAUGAUUAACAAUGCGAAAGAUUCAGGAUACCUUCGGGACCCGUCUGAAACACGGACCAAGGAGUCGAUCCAC